GAAAUGCGAUAAGUAAUGUGAAUUGCAGAAUUCCGUGAAUCAUCGAAUCUUUGAACGCACAUUGCGCCCUCUGGUAUUCCGGGGGGCAUGCCUGUCCGAGCGUCAUUGCGAACCCCUCAAGCACGGCUUGUGUGAUGGGCCCUCCCGCGUCUUGGUCGUCAAGACGGGCCCGAAAUGCAGUGGCGGCUUCGCGGUUAUCCGAUCAGCCAGAGCGUAUGGGGACUUUCUCUCUGUCACACGCCCGCGGCGCGGACCGACGCCUGUCGACCUUCAUUCAUCGUUUUCUCGGUUGACCUCGGAUCAGGUAGGGAUACCCUCUGAACUUAAGC
rnacentral:misc_RNA from 1 species